GGUAGUAAAGCUUAGUGGUAGAACAUGUGCUUAGCAUGUACUAGGUCCUGGAUUCAAUCCCCAGUACCUCCA
rnacentral:tRNA from 1 species